AACGAACGCUGGCGGCAGGCUUAACACGUGCAAGUCGAGCGCCCCGCAAGGGAGCGGCAGACGGGUGAGUAACGCGUGGAACGUGCCCUUUGGUUCGGAACAACUCCGGGAAACUGGAGCUAAUACCGGAUAAGCCCUUCGGGGAAAGAUUUAUCGCCAAAGGAUCGGCCCGCGUCUGAUUAGCUAGUUGGUGAGGUAAUGGCUCACCAAGGCGACGAUCAGUAGCUGGUCUGAGAGGAUGAUCAGCCACACUGGGACUGAGACACGGCCCAGACUCCUACGGGAGGCAGCAGUGGGGAAUAUUGGACAAUGGGCGCAAGCCUGAUCCAGCCAUGCCGCGUGAGUGAUGAAGGCCUAGGGUUGUAAAGCUCUUUUGUCCGGGAAGAUAAUGACUGUACCGGAAGAAUAAGCCCCGGCUAACUUCGUGCCAGCAGCCGCGGUAAU
rnacentral:rRNA from 1 species